AGAGUUUGAUCCUGGCUCAGGACGAACGCUGGCGGCGUGCCUAACACAUGCAAGUCGAACGAUAAGCCGGAGCUUGCUCCGGUGGACAGUGGCGAACGGGUGAGUAACACGUGAGAAACCUGCCCCAAAGACCGGGACAACCAUUGGAAACGAUGGCUAAUACCGGAUGCCCUCACAUGGCCGCAUGGCCGAGUGAGGAAAUGCUCAGGUGCUUUGGGAGGGUCUCGCGGCCUAUCAGCUAGUUGGUGAGGUAAUGGCUCACCAAGGCAUCGACGGGUAGCUGGUCUGAGAGGACGAUCAGCCACACUGGGACUGAGACACGGCCCAGACUCCUACGGGAGGCAGCAGUGGGGAAUCUUGCGCAAUGGGCGAAAGCCUGACGCAGCAACGCCGCGUGUGGGAUGACGGCUUUCGGGUUGUAAACCACUUUCAGGGAUGACGAAAAUGACGGUAAUCCCAGAAGAAGCUCCGGCCAACUACGUGCCAGCAGCCGCGGUAACACGUAGGGAGCAAGCGUUGUCCGGAUUUAUUGGGCGUAAAGAGCUCGUAGGCGGUUCCGUAAGUCGGAUGUGAAAACUCAGGGCUCAACCCUGAGACGCCAUCCGAUACUGCGGUGACUAGAGUCCGGUAGGGGAGCAUGGAAUUCCUGGUGUAGCGGUGGAAUGCGCAGAUAUCAGGAGGAACACCAGUGGCGAAGGCSGUGCUCUGGGCCGGUACUGACGCUGAGGAGCGAAAGCAUGGGUAGCAAACAGGAUUAGAUACCCUGGUAGUYCACGCUGUAAACGAUGAUCACUAGAUGUUACCUCUGCUUGCAGGGGUAGUAUCGUAGCUAACGCGUUAAGUGAUCCGCCUGGGGAGUACGGUCGCAAGACUAAAACUUAAAGGAAUUGACGGGGGUCCGCACAAGCGGUGGAACAUGUGGUUUAAUUCGAUACUACGCGAGAAACCUUACCUAGGCUUGACAUGCUUUUGGCGGCUGUAGAGAUACAGCUUUCUAGGUUUACCUAGACAAUUGCACAGGUGCUGCAUGGCUGUCGUCAGCUCGUGUCGUGAGAUGUUGGGUUAAGUCCCGCAACGAGCGCAACCCUCGCCUUUAGUUGCCAGCAUUUAGUUGGGCACUCUAGAGGGACUGCCGGUGAUAAGCCGGAGGAAGGUGGGGAUGACGUCAAGUCCUCAUGGCCCUUACGGGUAGGGCUACACACGUGCUACAAUGGCAGUGACAAUGGGUCGCGAUCUCGCAAGAGCUAGCUAAUCCCCAAAAACUGUCUCAGUUCGGAUUGUUCUCUGCAACUCGAGAGCAUGAAGUUGGAAUCGCUAGUAAUCGUGGAACAGCAUGCCACGGUGAAUACGUUCCCGGGCCUUGUACACACCGCCCGUCACACCAUGGGAGUUGGUUUUACCCGAAGGUGGUGCGCUAACCAGUUUACUGGAAGCAGCCAACCACGGUAAGGUCAGCGACUGGGGUGAAGUCGUAACAAGGUAGCU
rnacentral:rRNA from 1 species